ensembl:lncRNA
UAUAUAUAUUCACGCAGACAUAUAUAUAUAUAUACAUAUAUCUAGAAAGAUAAAUAAAAUAUAGGGUGUUUCUAAGAGAUACAUAUGUAAUCAUAUUUUUAGAAUAAACCAAUAUUUUACGUGUAUAUGAUUUAAUACUGUAAAAUAAAAAAUAAAGUUCCCCGUCUCUGCAUGGGUUCUCUCUGGAUAUCCCUCUUCCCGCAGUCGGGGUUUAGGUUACUUGAUGAUGAUGAAGAUUGCCCAUAGGUGUAUAAAUGUGAGAAUAAUUCUCUGUCAGCUCUGAUUGACUGACGACCGUCUCUUGCCCGAUGCUGGUUGAUUGACUUUUAGAAUAUUGAUGAUGCAUCCUUAUUCAAACUUACACAUUCUUUUAUUUUAUACCCUGUUAUUACAUUAACUUUGCAUAUUGGCCAGGAUGGAAUCUAUGUUCAUAAUAUUAUAGACACACUUCAAGUAAUUAUUUUUAAUUUACUUCUUAAUUUGAAUUAAUUGUCUAAUGAAUCUUUCCCUCAGAAUAUGCUUGUCAAUAUAUACAAAUGAAGAUAAAAUGAGACCAAAUUUGGGGGGGGGAAAUGGGACAAUUAACAUGUUGUCGGUUUUAACCACCAGGUGGCGGAUUAGGAGCAUUUUCAGACCCAAUCAAGAUCAAUUUAUUAAACAUUCUUCAUUUAUACAGUAAAUAAAAGGGCCAUGAAAUAGACUAAAGGUAACUCAACAAGUGAAAGUAAUGAAUUUGAAACCUUGUAUAGAAAAACAAUGUCUGAAAGACUCAACGUGUAAUUAAUGACAUAUCAUAACCGUCGAUAGUUUAAGACAGAAACAAUUAAAAAAAACUGUAUAUAUCAAUAUUUUGUCCAAUUACUAAAUUCUCUUCAAAUCUUCAAAAUUGAACUGUACUUAAUAUGUCCAAGUAUAUUUGGUCAUGCUGAUGAUGAAAUAAGAAAACAUAUGUUAUUCAUCUACACAAUAAAGUAAUAUACCAUCUCCUACUCUGUUCUGGAGCUUUCAAGUCAAUCACAUGGUUUUUAUCCAAAGAUGGAUAAAAAAUCAAUGCUUAAAAUGAACUAUGAUAUAAAGUAUAAAUACACGAUAAAAUAGCACAAUAUAUAUGAAGGAAAGUAUACAUGAGGAGGCAAAACAAUAAUAAAAGAUGAUGUGAACUAUUCACUGUGAUGAAUCACUUUGUUAGCUCUAUGCGUGGACAGUAGUACUGGUAGUACAUAUAUACAUGUAGUGGUAGUAGUCCUGGUAGUACAGCAGAGUACAGCAGGUGGAGCCACAGACCGCAUGUUAAACACCGAGAUCUUCGUCUGAUUCCGUUUCAGUUUGUAGAAAUAAAGAUAAAUUGAAACUGUACUAAAAAUAUGUUUCUAUACUUAGAAUGUGUAGUUUUACUUAUUUUAUGUUCAUAUGUUUGUUAAGGAUUAUUGUUUUAUUUAAUACUUUAUGUAAAUUUGAUGUUAAUGCCUCGCCAGACGCGUCGAUCUUUUUCACAUGAACAUUGGCAGAAAUGUACUUUUUUUAAACUGCAUAUAUGACAUUUGAGUUCAAGAUUUGUUCAGUUUAUUUUACUUAACCGUCACGAAAAAAUCAGGAGGAAUACUCUCAGUUCAUUGUGUUUAAGUAAAUCUGUCAAUUGAGUUCCCACUACGCACCGUUGAUAAAUUGCUAUAUUAAUACUUUUUAAAAUAUAGUAGAACAAUAAUAGAUGCAAUGUAAUUCAAACUGUGGCACAAUGAAAAAAUAAUUAAAUCACAUUAUUGCAUAAUCAGUAGAGAAGACAGAAAUGUUAAAAUAUCAAACUAAAGUCAAGAUGUUUAUAACAAAUCAACUUUUAUAAAAAGAUUAUAAGCAUAAUUCAAGGCUAGACGUUUUUAAUUAACAUUACCUUCCUGAUUUACAACACUACACAUUUCUUUGCUUUCCUCCUCCAUGCUGUUCUCAUAAAUACUGUGUGAACGUUAAAUUAAGAAUAUUAUUUUCAUUCUUCUUAACAUUUAAGAACAUUCUCCGAUGCUCGUUUUAUUUUCUUCUUCUUUAAAGAAGUAUACCUCAAAUAAAUUCACAAAAACACAGAGUUAUGAAUUUAAUCUUCAUAGCCAGUAGUUUUGGUCAAAGUGUGAUAUGAAUUGUGUUUAUUUUAAGUUCUCUUUUAGAUGUUUGUGAUGUAACUUCAUCAAACAAGCUAUUGUUGUGUAAAGUACAUAAAUACUUGGUAGAAUGAAGACAAACAUUUCCUCCCACCUGACCACAGGAAAUACAUUUCAAAUGUUUAAAGAUGUUGGGUUUACAGUAAAAUUCAUUCAUUUAUUUUUAUGUAAAUGACACAUGUUGCACCUGUGAGGUAAAUGGAACAUUACAGCCAGCAUGUUAAAAUCAAUUCAUAAACAGUAGUGAAUCUAUUGUGUUAAUUACAUGAGCUGUUUUCCAAAACUAUACAGUAUAAUUGGGCAUUCAAAAUCAAUAUAGAAUUCCCCAAAAUACAGCAAAAAUCAGUGAAAACAUGAAUCAUUCCGUCUACUUUCCUCUGAAUCUGAUUCUUGGUAUUAUUUGUACAAGUAUUGCUGACUUGUCGACAUGAAGCUAAUCAGUAAUUAGCUGCUUAAUCGUUAGCAUGUGGAGGAGCUGAUGCCACAGGAUCACCUGUAUUUAAACACCUGUGUGUGAGUGAGUCUGAUUCUGGAUCAUUUCAGGUCUCGGUGCCUUUUAGGGUUUCACAGGAUUAAGGAAAUGUAUCGACGAUGUCUAAUUCAUAGUUACUGAUUCUCAAGUAUGAUUAAUAUUUGAAGAGACAGAUAAAUGUGUGGCUGCACACCAGCUAACAACCUAAACUCUGUUAGCUUUUCAGUAUUACCUUCCACAUGUUUUUUUCUUUAUUUAUAAAAUCCAUAAAAACCUGAAUAACUUUCUCAGACUAAGUGUAGCUUAUAUAUUUUUGUAAAAUUCCAUAUUUAAAAGGUGGCCCGAACAUUUUUGGCAUCUUUUUUUAACUAAAAUGACGAAUAUGAUUAAUGGAUAAGCAAAAUGAUAAUUAUUUAAUUAAAUGUCAAUUGACUAAUCCGUUCAUUUAUUUAAUACUAUUAAUGACAUCUACAUAUACAAUACAUUAUAGUCAGCUAUAUCAUUUAUGACCAUAAAAGCAACCAAAUCAAAAUCUUAGGAUUGUGUGUUUAAUCAAAAUGUCUUUGUUUGACGUGUCUCACAUGUUGUACAUUUACUUGUAUUGUGUUUCUACACAUUGAAGCCACUUUUCAGUGCAAAGCGUUCGGCUUUCCUCUGCUGCCUCGUGUCACUCAAAUCAAUUCUGGCAUUGUGAUCGUUUUACUGCACAGAAUACAUGUUUGAAUCCUCUCUCCUGUUAGCCCUCAUUCACAUUAAGGUACACGGCUUAUUUUCUGCCUUUUUGCCGGGAUUCCUCAGUGCUCGCAAUGGUGCGAUCUCGGUGGUGACCACCAGGGGGCGACUCCUCUGGUCCUAUAGAAGUCUAUGAGAAAAUGACUACUUCUCUCUUGAUUUACUCCCUCUGUAAAUAUUGUAAACAUGAGUUUAUGGUCUCAAUCUGUAGUUUGUAGUCUUCUUUAAUACAGCGUGAUGUUCAUUUAGUAAAUGAUGGUCCAUUUAGAGGCAGACAGCCCAGAAAGCGGAGGACGCUUCAGGGCGGGGCUACACCAUGACAGUACUUUCACUCUGAAAACCGAAGGCCAAACUUGAGCUUUUUCGAACUGAGCUGAUAUCUUCUGUCGCCAAAUGGAGCCCAGAUUCCUACUUCAUCAAUAAGAACGGAAAUAAAAACUUAAUUCUCCAAUCGGCCCCCGAGAGUUCAACCACACCGAAGAGACGAGAGGACGGAGGCACCGACGCAUCCACGCACACACCCGUCCAUCGAGUGAUUCAAAGUUGUUCCCGUCUCUAACCGGCUGACGGGGGUCCAACGCGUCGCCCUGGGGGGAUAAUUAAGAACCUGCAUCGUCGUGUCUCAAGUGUUUAAUAACACCGACCCACGUGUCCUCCUCUUCAACGGAGGCAUUCUUUCCGCUGUUUUUUUUUUUUAAAGAUCUGACUUGGAUUGGACAAACGGAUUUUGUCCCAAACCUCUCAAAUGGGGUUAGGGGUGGGGGGGUGGGAGGGGACUGUCUUUGUGUCUUUAACACUCAGAACCUCUUGAAUAAUGACAGCAAUGAUAAGCAUUCAGAGAUGACAAAUGGAAGCGUCUGCAUUAUACAUGGCUGCUUUGUUGGGACGAUGUUCAUCCGAGCACUUAAGUCUCUCCGAACCUGAUGAGCUCCUCCUUCAGGUUUCUGCCCCAUUUCCCCCCCACCUCCCCGCCCUCCUCUCCUCCUCUUCUUCUGGAUAUACAUCUGCAGGAAGCAUUAAUGUUUAAACCCGCGUGUUUUGUCUGAGCGGCAGUUUGUUUUGUCAUUAAAAUAUGGAAGAGCGGCUCUCAUUGUUUCGUGUCCGCUUUUUCUGAAAGACAAAUCUGCUAAGUGAAAUCACGGUGAAAUAUUAAUCGGAUGAGUUGAUUUACAUUUAUGUAACACUUUGCAUACGAUAAAUCGAGCUAAAGUGAGCGAGAGCGGUUCUGUCAUGAGGAAGAGAGCCGAGGAAACAAAUCGCACCACAAGCCCUCCAACACAAAGCUGCAGGAACGAGUUCGAAAACAAGAGGACGAGUCAGCAGUUUGUUUACUUCCUGUUUCCGCGUCUUGAAGGCAUUUUUAAAAAUAAGGUUUUGAUGAGAUUUUAACCUUUUUUUUCUAAUAAAUAAAACACGGUUUGUUACUUUCAAUAAUUAUUGUCGCUGUUCAAGAGCAAACAAAGCUUUAAAAUAUGUUAUUUUCUUGAUUUAUUAUAAAAUGAGUAAGUAUUUAAAUCUGUGUUUAAGUUAGUUAAGUUAGUCCACUCCAAAAAACAGCAAAACCAUCUAGUUCCUUAACGCACCACCUUCAUUUUAGUUCCUGAACACACCACCUACAUUUUAGUUCCUUAACAAAUCACCUUAAUUCUAGUUCCUGAACACCACUCUGCCGUGACCUCCUGGGGGCCGCGGGCCUCGUGUUGGGCCCCUGUGCUGGUUUAUCUGUAGCCUGACGGCUCCCAGCGGGAGAAUUCAACAUAAUAGUUUCUUCUGAAUGUAGUUUUGUGAUUUAAAUUGCUAAUUAUAAUGGUGAUGGAACAAAUAAAUAAAACAUGACCUUAGCGUGUUUUUAUCUCUCACUGUAAAAACUCUGGCGGUCAGUAAAUCAGCCGCGGUGGCGUUCCGGCGAUGACUCGUCUGUUGUUGGGUAAAUGCUCCGUAAAUGUCACUCUGGAAAACAACAUUGCAGUGGGUUUAAUGUAUUUAAUGACAUGAACAGUUAUUUACAUUUGUUCCUCUUCUUUUGUGUCCCAUAAUUCCACUUUUCAGGAUCAAUGUUUAUUUUGUAAUUUCCUUUUAUUUGACUUAAAAAUCUCCCUUCAUGAGUUUUAAUGUAAACCAACAAAAGUUUGAAUGUUUCACAUUCCGCAUUUGUCACAAUAACUCAAACUAACAGGUUGAAUGUUUUCGCUUCUUUUUGUCUUCUGUAAGUCAAAAACCAAUAAUCUGUUGACACAUGUGGUAUUUCACUGUCCGACACUAAAAUAGAAAACGCAUCGACAGGAUGUGAAGAGGCUGCGGCCCUCUGGGGGCUGUAGGAACUCAGCACAUACAAUGGAUGCAUGUAAGGACUCCAACAUAAUUUAUUUUCAUCAUGCAACAAAAUGCACUCGCAGCCCGUUUGCUGCACACGAGGAACAUGACGCACAAAAGCUAAAAGCAGUCAUGUGUUCCUGCAGUGCAACGUUAAACAUCUGCAUCAGGAGGAAGAUAAACAGCGGCCCUGAAAGCAGAUGACACGGCCGACUCAAUAAGACCAUGAAUCUUUCACCGACUUCUGUCCCUGAACCUUUUAGAAUUUUUAGAGGCAGCAAACGAUUUGGGAGUUUUAAGAUAAUCUUUGUAAAACAUCCGAUGUUCCCUUCGAUUGUCCCGUAAAACACGUUAAGAGACGUGACGCUCAGUGUGGACUCCUUCCUAAUAUCAUGAUUUGAUAAUGGUUCAAAGGUCGAAGUAGUAGUAGUUCAUAGUACAGAGGUCAUGGUAGUAAUACCUUAUAGUAUGGAGGUAACAGUAUUAAUACCUCAUAGCACGGAGGUAACAGUAUUAAUACCUCAUAGCACGGAGGUAACAGUAGUAAGACCUCAUAGUACGGAGGUAACAGUAGUAAUACCUCAUAGUACGGAGGUAACAGUAGUAAUACCUCAUAGUACGGAGAUAACAGUAGUAAUACCUCAUAGAACGGAGGUAACAGUAGUAAUACCUCAUAGAACGGAGGUAACUGUAGUAAUACCUCAUAGUACGGAGGUAACAGUAGUAAUACCUCAUAGUACGGAGGUAACUGUAGUAAUACCUCAUAGAACGGAGGUAACUGUAGUAAUACCUCAUAGUACGGAGGUAACAGUAGUAAUACCUCAUAGUACGGAGGUAACUGUAGUAAUACCUCAUAGAACGGAGGUAACUGUAGUAAUACCUCAUAGUACGGAGGUAACAGUAGUAAUACCUCAUAGUACGGAGAACUAGUUAAAUCCCUGUUUUCACUUUGAUUUUCGUCUCCAGAAGGACCGAAGCAUCACAGCUUUGAGGAUUCAGGUUUUUUCAGGCUCUUUAUCAUCGGGUAUCUUUGUCCAUGACAAGGCUUUCGUGGAGGUCAAAGGUCGCCUGCAUUGAUCAUGAGUGAUGCAGUAAAUCUGUCUCAAGGGUAUUUUCCUCCUCCUCAUGUAUUCUACAUGUUACAUGAGACACAAAAGGGAGCAUUGUCAUGUUAUCUCUUCUACAAAGCGCAUAGAAGGUUUUACUAGAGCUUAAACGUCUUUUAUUUUAAAAGGCGUUUCUGUGUUUCCUGCAGAUCACCUUCACACCUCCGUGUUUUCACAACUGCAGGAUUUGUUCUUCAUCGGCAGAGUGGAGGGUUGGAGGAGAGGCCUCGGUCCCCGGGAAGCCUCCAUCGCAGAAACAAAGACGCACCAAAAGACAACGGUAAGCCACCGUGAAAAAAGAGCUCAGCAUCAUCUUGUUUGCAGCGUGACGACACCACCACCUCCUCCUUCGCCUCCGCCUCCUCCUCCACCUCCCGCAGGACCGCAGACGGCGAACAUACCAAAGUGUAAUUAUGGGAAGCCUCGGAGGGACGACCCGACACCGGGCUGAUUAGAAAACUUAUUUACGUCUUCAAAAGAAAGUGACUUCAUGAUGUCAUCAGACUGAAGAGAGUUAUCAUCGUGAACAGCGACUGCUCUCAGAUCAGCCGGAGGGUCCGACUCUCUCGCUCUCUCCAGGUGGGAAGUGAGUCCAUACAGAUGCUCCUCAAAGACCAAUUUUAUUUAGUUCUUGGUAUGAACUCAGCAGUUUAUAUGUAAAGCUAUAUAAAACUAUUCCUGCUAUAAAACUAGAUACUAUUUUAAAGUAAUUGUGAUGUAUUCAAGGAAUUUAUUUUAUUAAUUUUCUCUGUGGAAGGAAACUUAAAAUGUACCCAGAUGAGUCGUGAACAGAAUUUUAAAUCAAAUAUCGGUAAAACUAAAAGUGGAAUAAAUGUCUAGCGGCCAAUGUUUGACAACCUUCUUUGUUUUUUUUUUAUUGUCAUCAGUACUUUCCAAAUUUACUUUAAUGACAUCAUGUUGAUUGAAGUUAUGAACUCAUUUGUUUUCUUAAAAGUGUAUUUUGUGUACGUCCUAAAUGGAAACAACUGACUCAAGUUUUGUUUUUCUCUGUUGGAUUCCGUGUGCAGGACUCGGAAUCCAAUCCAGGUUUUUUUAAAUGUUUUUUUUUGUGACAAAUUAUGAGCUGGUAUUGACAUAUCUCAUAUUUGAAAUGUUUUGAAAGUUUGGCAAAACGGAAAUAAAACCUGUGACAUAAAGAAAAGAGAAAUGGUGUUGCGUGUGGUUUUGGUGGUUAUUGAUUUCCCAAGAAAGAACUGUAAAUUAAAUAUUGUGUGUUAGAAUUGCUGGAAUAUAAGAUACACAUUCAAUUCAGACUAAUAAAGACAGCCCAUUGCGAGGUGGAACAGAGGAUAAACUCCUUUCUCUCUUACUUUGGUCAAACUUUCCUGAAUAUUCCUGAAACAAAGAGAAGAAAGGAGAUAAAUCAGUAACGAGAGUGAGUUUGCUCCACGCCGGAUCCAUGGGGCGAUGUGAUGUAAUAUUGAUGACCCUGCUCGUCUCCUGACGACCUCCGUUUGGUCGUCUCAUGUUUUAUCAAAUAUUUAUCAAGCUCUGCGUCCCCUCAGAUCCCAUAAUGCAUCUGUAAUGUCCUGUCAGGUGAGGCAUGAUGGGAGAGGUGAUGAUGGAGUGAAGCUCCUGGCGGGACGGAGGAGGGUAAUUUCUGAUCACAGCUUGUUCCUCUCUUCCUUUUCUCUUCCCCUAAAGUUCUCAAGCUGAAACUGACGGGGACCUGAGGAGGAACCCUGAGGAACACCCAGCUAACAAUACAUCUAUCCUCCUGCUGCCUGAUGUAAACCUUUUUGGUGUAAAGGUUACUGUGUGUUUCUUUUUCUUUUAUGUUAAUUUUGUGCAUGACAAUGAAAAGGUCCUGCGUCCAUUGUUUGUUUGAUUUCAAUGGAUUUUAACAGUUAACUGAUUACAACAAAUCGUGUCUGAACUCUUCAUCGUGUCCUUGUCUGGAUAUUCAUCGCUUCAAUCAUUUGCUCUCUCACUCGUCUAACUUUCUUCAUCGUUCUUCACCUCCUUUCCCCUCCUUCUUUCGGCCUCCUGCUGUUUUCUUAUUUAUCACCAUCUCUAAUAUCUCCUCUCUCUCUCUCCUCCGCCCCCCCCCGGCCCUCAUUAACACGAAGCCCUGAUGGAUGUCGGGGCGAGGCCCGACUCAACCUCGACUUUGCUCCCGCCCCUGAUGCUCUGUGCAGGAAAGCGCUCACCUCUCGGCAGGGGUGGCCGUUUCGGUUGCUACAGGAGGGGGGGGGGGGGCACCGCCCGCCAUCUGCCGCCACCUCCCCCCCCCAACGCAACGGCAGCUCGCCACAACUGUCGCUGUCGCCCCGACGCAGCUUGGAGACCGAGGUGAUGAUGGGAAAGAGGACCUGAUGUUGAUGAUACGUUCGGGACCCACGCGGAAUAUUGUGCGUGCUAACUUCCGGCAAGGAUAUGUGAGACGUCCAAAGGUGGAGUCGGGUCACUCGUCCGUGAAACAAGCUUGUAUGUCAUGCGACAUAAAACCCAACAGAAUGAUAUGAAUGAUGUUCCGUCAUCAUCAGAGGACGGAUCCUUACAGUUCUCGUCACCCUCAUGUUCUCGUACCAUCAAGAGUUCAGCGGCCGUUUGGAAAGGAUGCUGCGUCCAGGUGCGUGGAUGCUAAAUCUGACUUAGUGUGCAGACGAGGUAAUACACACGGGACUCACACGUUGAGGAUGUUUAGUGUAGUUAAUGUGUUGUGUGUCUCAUGUUGAGUGUGUUCAAUGUGUCACAUAUUCAGUGUAUUUAACGUGUUGUAUGUUCAGUGUGUUCUAACGCGUCACAUGUUCGAUGUGUUUAGCGCGUCGUGUGUUUUCUCUGUCACAUGUUCAUCGUCUUUCAAAGUUGUCCAGCCUCUGGUGUCCUCUCCAACUUCCUGAUCUCAGCUCGUGUUGCUGUUGAUGCUACUGAUGAUGAUGAUGAUGAUGGUGAUGAUGCAGAUGACCACAGAGUCAUUAUCAUUCUCUCCACUCCCACAAUCCUCUGCUCCAACUCCAAUUACCGUGUGAUUGUAUGCUUGGCACCGAAAACAUAAUUAACAACGAGCGUCUCUGCCAAAACUAAGCAGCCAACACGCCGUUUGUGUGGCGCGUUCGAUCCGCACGCAGGAAAAAGCAAACACAACAACGGCAACAACAACAACAACAACGGCCACACAAAACAGCUCGCCCGUUUUUUUUUUUUUGGGGGGGUUCAGAGGCAGAGCGGCGGCUCCGCGCUCCCCAGAGGCCCGACGCUAUUCGCCGUAAUGGCGUCGUCGGCUCGGCACUCUUCCCUCUGAUGGACCGCAGGCUGCUGCGGGAGGACACUUUGUGGUGCGGACAAGAGGAAUUAUGGGAGAGCACGCCAAGAGAGGCCCGCGGGGAGGCAGGGAUGUGUGCGUUAUCAGGCUUUAAAACACAGAGUGAGAGAUAUCGGUGGAUCACAAACACAAAUGUGCUUGUUAGAGGCUGUUAAAGUUUGGACACGUACAUCUCACACACACACAGGCGCACGCACACACACGCACGCACACACUGUGUGUGUGUGGUCCAGGCCGAUAUCCUGGACCGAGUCUUAGAUUCAAAAGUAAUUAACUUGAGAAAGCUAAAUAAAGUUGUAACAACCCAGCAAGUUAUCAUGUCACUUCAGAGACGAGUUGAUGUGUCAUGAUGAGAAAAGUUAGUUGCUUUAAGAAGAGUUCAGGAACAUAACGGGAAAGGAAGUAUCCUCAUGCCAGAAACGGAGCAAACAUCUCUAUAUUUGACGCCCCCCCACACACACGCAUACGGUCUUUUCCAAAAAAGAUUCCAUCUUAAAAUUAAAAAACAAACAUUGGUCUCCCAACGGUAAGACACUUCCACCUCUCCGACCGCCCCGUGUGUGUCAUGCGUGCUAGUGUGGCUCUGUAAACCUCCUCGUUAAACCUGGAGAACAUAGUAAAUCAUUUUAUGGAAAAUCCGAGAAUUAUGCUGCAUUCCUUUUUGUCGAUAUGACUAAGAAUGCUGUAUGAAAUCCCCCUGUUCUAUUUCAUAUUUGAAGGUUUUUUUUUUUAUCACCACCUGUGAAUAAUUUCGGGAAGGACAAAGAGUCACAUAUUUCCAUGCUUGUACACCUAGAGUACCGUACAUACUUGGUGGAUUAAAUUACACACCAGGAUACUGUUCAUCAUCUUCAUGCGCGCUAAUGCAAACGUGCAGGCGUGUUUGCACAAACAGACAAAUCUGUCCGAUAAACCACAGAAACACAGAAAGAGACUUGGAGAAGCAAACAUGCUCCAAAGCAUCGCUGGGAAAGAACUGCAGCUGUGCAGAAACACGUGUACGUACAACACUAUUGUGUGUGCGUGAAUCCAUCAUAUCUCAUCAGCAGAACAACCAGGAAAACAAUGUACGACUGUGUGUGUGUGUGUGUGCGUGCGUGCGUGCAGAUUGUGGAAUCAGCAGAAAGAGGCUGCAGCUUCUUCUUCUUUUCUUUUUUAUUUAUCGGGUGGCAGCGAGUCGCUGCUGCUUAUUUACAGCAGAUUGUUUCUCCAGAUGUUUUACAGGGAGAGAAAUCCCUAAACACACACACUCCUCUCUUUGUCCAGAUGGAAGUCAUUCUUUAUAAGACUCCAUAAUCCCCCCCCCCCUCCUCCCCCUCUCUCUGCGAGAGGAAACACAGGGAAGGUGGAAGUGAAGCGUCUCCUCCUCUCCGUGUCACUGAUGUUCUCCAGUUGUGUCGACAUGUUUUUUGGUGAAACUCUCUUGACGCCUGAAAAUGUUUCAACUGAGGGUUUGAAAGAAGCAGAUUUGUGUACUUCAACCAUUUGAGUGGAUUGAAGCGCAGUGAGUGAAGAGACAGCGGCUGAAGGUAGAUGAGCACGUUGGUGUUCCCACCUCCUCUGUUUCCUCCACUAUUACAUCAGCGGUGAAUAUCACUAACCCUGCACACAGUACACCUGUCUGUCUCCAGAUGUGUUUACUCUGAAUCAUCAACGCUAGCGCAGUCGUGACAUCAUUUCCUGUUUUGUCUUGACCUUUUUUUAACCCGAGAGUUUUGGCGUUUUUUAGCCGCCUUGGAUGAAGGCCGCAGCCAUCUUUGGAUCGCGGGAGGCGAAGAUACGGUGUAUUUUGAUUUAGGAUGAGUCAGGUAGAGACCUGUCAAUCACAAGGUGGCCCCGCUCUCAUAUUAAUGCAGCCUUUUCUCUUCUUCUAACAGUUGCCAAAAGUAUUUGUAUUUAAGAUAUUCCCAUUGUUUCCGACAGCUUUGUUCUUAAACAAGUCGUAACUUUGAUAUCUAAUUUGUGUAAAGAGGAGACAAAUGACAGAGGAGCUCAACUUCAACGUGCAUAACAAAGAGAUUUCAUAAUAUUCCCACAGCUUUAUUGGAAAAACAUCCACCUCUGUGAAGUCCAAGUUUCCUGUGAGAUUUCCCCCAAAACAAGAGCUCAUUUUUAAACUGAACUACAAUAGAAAGUCUUUGUUCUGAGUCUCUGUAUCGCUGCUCCUCUCAGUCUUUCCCUCCCUCUUGCCCACACUGAGGGAGAAAAAUAACAAAAAAAAUAAAUAAAAUAAAGGAAAUGGCAGAUUGAUGAAAAGCCAAACUAGUCCCACGAUGACACGUUCUUCUUCUCUCCACAAUAUUAAAAACUCCCACACGUUUCAGGAGGAGGGCAGAAUUAGCCUUGCCGGGACACACUGUAAACCGCCGUAAUGACUCAUUUGUUUCAUCCUGAUAGAUGGCUCUCCGGAUGGAAGAGGACCUCGUCUAAAAAAAAGAAAAAGAUGAAAUGAAAAGGCGGCGGGGCGAAGGACGGCGUGUCGAAUCACGGAGAAAAGUCUACGGCUCGCCGCUUCAAAGAGGGCUCGGACCACCGGGGGACGCUCCGAGGGGCGAAGAGGAGGCCAUAAAAAAUCCUCUAAACAAGGAGCCAACACACACACACACACACACUCACACACUUUGAAGCCGCUGUUUCACCGCGUGCGGGGGGGCAGGUGGUGCUGAUGAAUAUUCAGACGGAGGGUCGGCACUCUGCUGCCAAACAAACCGCCUGUUUGCUUUCUGUCACCUUCCAAAUUCUGAUAUAUUGUUUUCUUCUCUCGGCGCGACUCAGAUCAGAUGUUUGAUGUUUGUUUCCGUUGGUCUGGACCACACGGGGGCGCAGGUGAUAAUCGGGUGAUUAUCAAGUCAAUUACCGGGUGGUGUGCAGGUGAUGCUCGGGAGAAACCAGGCGGUGACCUCCGGUUCUGACGAGUAAAGCCAAAGCUUCACGUGUCAGAACUGCAUUCUCUCGAAUGACCACAAGGGGGCGACUCCUUUGGUCCUGUAAAAGUCUACGAGAAAAUGACUCUCUUCUUCUCCAUUACUUCUCGUGAUGUCUCUUGAGUAAAUUAUGGUCCACUCCAAAUAUGACUCCACCACACACACUAUCACUGGUUGCAAAAAACAAGAUGGCAUUUGAGGCUUAAAAAUCUCCGUGCACAGAACAAUGGAUGACAUCAUCGUCAUGACCACAGUUCAAUAUAUUACAACCGACACUGCCGUUUAUUUUAUUCCGUAACGUAAAGUCAACAUUGACUUUUUUACACAGGACACGAACAACAAUGUCCUGGGGUAAAGUGCUGUGUUUGCUUGACCCAGCUACCCUGCGCACGUCACUCAGAUUAAAAUACGUAUCCCUGGUUCAUAGAAACCUGCCAGGACGUUAAAUAAAAAAUAAUAAAUACAUGUGUGUUUUUUUAUUUAUUUUUGUGCGAUGCAGCUCUGUCACAGGCCGAUAGCCGCCGCAGCCGAAUGUACUUCUUCUUCCUCUGCUCGGCUGUAUUCCAUAUGCUUCAUCAUUAAAAACCGCGGCUGCCGUAAAGGAUUCAUGUAGAAAUGUUGAAUCGAGCAGCGGGCCUCCACUGAGACGACAGAUGUUGGUGCGGAGACAAUUAAUUAACAAGCCUCUGAAAGCCGGCGAGAGUUUGGACGUCCUGGUCCCGGAGAUGUGGCUGUGAUCCGGGGGUCCGCCCCCGGGAUUCUAUCUCCCCCUCGCUGACCAGAUAGCGUCAGCUGGGACGGAUCCAGUGGCAUCAAGCAUCAUCUCGUCUUACUCGAGGAUAUCGUCGUUGUGUUCAGGAACGUUGACUAACCAGAGCUGCCAGCGGGGAGGAGUAAAAUGCAUCACCGUUAGAGUUCAUCUAAUCAAAGCACGGGAAUACUUGUGCUGCCAUAUCAUUUUAUAUCAAAGGACAUUUUCCUGUAAAUAAAUGACAAAUGAAUGAAACCUUGAAUUUAAUUAUUGCACUAGAAUAAAUGUGCAAUGGAAUAGUAUUCAUGCCACCAUAAUAAUUGUAUGGCAUUAGAAUAGAUGUAUUUAUUUCACUUGCAAUAUAUAUAUGUGUAAAUGUAAUCACCCCAAUAGAAGGUAAAAAUAACGCCAUCAGACAGUUGAUCUGCUGCAGAUCAUGAUUCAGUUUCCCCAACCCUGCAAUCAUCAGUAUUCAGCUAGCCGUUAGCAGUGGGCAUAGCACGAGUCUGAAGCUCCGUGGGCGGAUGCUAUUUGGUGAAAUGCAUCUUGGGAGUAUUCACUGACUCUUCCUUUUCACUUUUUAAGCCCAACCGGUUUGACUUUUAGCAAAGAAGGAGCUUUUUUCAGACAGUUCCUCUCCUCCUGGGCUUGAUUCAACAGGAAGACCUUCACAAUGCCGACAUCAUCAGCUCACAAUGAUGAUGUCGUGGCCGAUAGACGCCGUUUCAAGCGACCACAUCUGCAGGAGGCCAACCGCCAAUCAGUAACACCUGUUAUUCUAUCGUGUAACGCAGAGCGACGCGCACGCGCGCUCAUUCUGCUACAAACCAAAACCACAUUUACCAUCAGCCCCCUCUGACCCUGAAGAGAAACAGAAACGUUGACACUAAAUUUAAUUUUGGUGUCUGAACUGGUCGUGAUCCUGUUAUAGAUGCAUUUUGUCUGUGAGCUUUUUUAGGUGGAUUAAAACAAAUUAUUCUGGGCUAAAAUGUCGCUGAGUUCCUUUACAGCCUGACGUGAGGUCAUGUGACCAUGGUGGAGUUUCUUUACAGCCUGACGUGAGGUCAUGUGACCAUGGUGGAGUUUCUUUACAGCCUGACGUGAGGUCAUGUGACCAUGGUGGAGUUUCUUUACAGCCUGACGUGAGGUCAUGUGACCAUGGUGGAGUUUCUUUAUGGCCUGACGUCAGACAGAUGUCGCAUGACCACUUGUUUUGAUUAAUGAAACACAUUUUCACUUUUUUUCACUAUUAAAUAUGCAGGUAUCAAUGAACUAUUUUUUUCUUGCCUCCCAUUAAAAGAAAGCUGGAAGGUAUUUGGCUUCUUUUCAUCAUAAUUAUUUUGUGAUAUUAUUGAUAAUUACAUUAUGUAGCAAAGAAGGAGUUUGUACCAAAGAAAGCUGAAGAGUUCCUUCUCAGUCUCAAUAUUAGGGUAUGCUUAUUCUUAUUAUAAAUAACACUGGAACUAAUCAUGCCAGCAUUUAAUCAAGCACUUUGCCACCAGCUGAGCUUUAACGUCUGCCAGGUGAAAACAGUAAAACUUCAUCUGCACCUUUUUGCUAAAUACGAUCCUCUGGGGAGACGCUAAAACGUUCCUUAAUUCGAUGUUUGACAGUUCUGCACUUAAUAAAAACAGAUCUGUUUCCAUUCAGCCGCAGGAAGUGACAUCAGGACUUUAUCGUCCCCGAGAAGCUCUUUAAAAAAAAAACAAGUCGUGCCACUUUUGCCUCGGAGAAACAAAAGCCGACGUGUACGGCGCGAUUUUGUGAUUCCAAACGUGGCGACGAGGCCGCCGGUCGGGGAGGUCUGCCGCCCACGUGCUCCGCGCGCCUUCACCUUUUCGCUGUGAAGCAGUCGGUCCGAAUUAACCCGGCGCCUCGGCGACACGUUAGCGGUCCCGCCGCUAACGCUCAGCAGCUGUGUGAGUGUUUCUGUGUGUUAACAGCUCUGCCUGUGGCUCAGUCUGAUUUAACAGCUGAGAGGCUGCAGUAUAUAUAUAUAUAUAUAUAUAUAUAUAUAUAUAUAUAUAUAUAUAUAUAUGGUAUGGUAAAUACGUAUAUUUAUAAAUACAUGUUAGAGAAGAGAAGCAGCUCGGACGGUAACCUGAUGCUUAAAUUCUAUCUGGAGGACAUUUCAGAUUCAUUCAACUCAGAUGGUGAGAAGGUGUAAAUGCUCUUCAGUCAUUUUUCCUCCUGCCUGCGUGUGGAACCUCAGUGGAACGUAACUACACAAAGUACACGCUAUAACCUCCUGUAGUACUUGAAAUAUGAUAAACUAAUACAUUUAGUAAUAGAUUUAGUAUUAUUAUGAAACUCAACGGAGCAGUUUAUAAAGAAAUUAAAAUGAGCUCCUUAGCAGUUCACAUUGAAGUGAUUGUUGCAUCAAUACCACAAGAAGGAAGUACGUACAAUCGUGCGUAACGAGUCAUUUGACAAACGUUAACAUGUGGUAUACUACGAUAGCAACGCGUUAUGUAGGGGAACGUGUUGGAUCAAACAAUAUUAAAGGUGCUACAUUCAAGAAUAUGUAUAUUCCUUAUAGAAGCUAACAGCGCUAACAGGGUUCACCUGGAAGAGAACCAGAGAGUUGGGAAAGUCUUAAAGGUCUGAGGUCUCCUCCUAGCUGGAACCCUCCAAGAGGACUUGAUCGGAUCCACCUCGACUCUUUCUUCCAGUCUGUGUGUGUGUGUGUGGGGGGGGGGUCUAGAGAAGGCAAUCGAAGGCUCCGACGGCGGCGGCGCCUUCGUCCCACUUGUGUUCUUGCAGGAGACUCAGCCACGCCACGGGACGAGAUUCCUCCACCCACCUCCACCAGCAGCACGGCCUGGCCCACAUCCCUCGCUGUGUGUGGUGUGUGCCUGUGUGUGUGUGUGUGUGUGGUGGUGUGUGUGACUUCCUGUGGUCUCAUUACGUUCGGCCCGUUUCCCUCCAGCGCACAUCAGAUGUAACAAAACCAGAGGACAAAAUAAGAGCAUUACUUUUUAAAGAUGUGUCCUGAAGAAGGGAGACGGUGAUGCGCGCUGACAGCGGCUGCUAAUUGGAGUAAAUUAAUUUACCUCGGGCGCCGAUGUUCGCACAAAGCGCCGCUCGCCGCGUGAAUAAGUGAUGAUCGGCAGCGCCACGGAUAAGCCCCGACUUUUGAAUCGUUUAAAGCCGCAUUCUGCUAAUUAGCAGGGAGAAAGCCAGCUUUCAGCCACAUUAAGAUAGGCCUCUGUCAGUCAGGGGGGGGAGGAAGGGGGGGACGGGUGGGGGGUGGAGAGGGAGCGCUUCAUUUAUUCAUCCUCUGAGCAGAUGCUGAGUGCAGUGGGGGUUUGGAUGGAGAGAUGCAGGGAUGGAGAGGGAGAGCUGAGGGAUCUGAAGGCCUGGAUGGGGAUGAGGG